rnacentral:snRNA from 2 species
GUACUCGCUUCAGCAGCACAUCCACUAAAAUUGGGACAAUACUGAGAAGAUUAGCAUGGCCCCUGCACAAGAAUAACAGGCAAAUUUGUGAAGCAUUCCAUAUUUUA